rnacentral:rRNA from 1 species
ACACUCCUACGGGAGGCAGCAGUGGGGAAUAUUGCACAAUGGGCGCAAGCCUGAUGCAGCCAUGCCGCGUGUAUGAAGAAGGCCUUCGGGUUGUAAAGUACUUUCAGCGGGGAGGAAGGCGAUAAGGUUAAUAACCUUGUUGAUUGACGUUACCCGCAGAAGAAGCACCGGCUAACUCCGUGCCAGCAGCCGCGGUAAUACGGAGGGUGCAAGCGUUAAUCGGAAUUACUGGGCGUAAAGCGCACGCAGGCGGUCUGUCAAGUCGGAUGUGAAAUCCCCGGGCUCAACCUGGGAACUGCAUUCGAAACUGGCAGGCUAGAGUCUUGUAGAGGGGGGUAGAAUUCCAGGUGUAGCGGUGAAAUGCGUAGAGAUCUGGAGGAAUACCGGUGGCGAAGGCGGCCCCCUGGACAAAGACUGACGCUCAGGUGCGAAAGCGUGGGGAGCAAACAGGAUUAGAUACCCGAGUAGUCCCA